UCCGGUUCUUCACCAGCAGUCUCCUUAGAGUCCCCACCAUUACAUGUUGGCAACUAAGGAUAAGGGUUGCGCUCGUUACGGGACUUAACCCAACAUCUCACAACACGAGCUGACGACAGCCAUGCAGCACCUGUCUCUAAGUUCCUUUCGGCACCACCGCAUCUCUGCAGCGUUCUUAGGAUGUCAAGGGUAGGUAAGGUUCUUCGCGUUGCAUCGAAUUAAACCACAUGCUCCACCGCUUGUGCGGGCCCCCGUCAAUUCCUUUGAGUUUUAACCUUGCGGCCGUACUCCCCAGGCGGAGAACUUAUCGCGUUAGCUUCGAUACUGGAUAGUCUCGCCAUCCAACAUCUAGUUCUCAUCGUUUACAGCGUGGACUAC
rnacentral:misc_RNA from 1 species